GUUUUACCUUGCAGAGUUGGUUUUGGCCAUUCACAGUGUCCAUCAGAUGGGUUAUGUCCACCGGGAUAUCAAACCAGAAAAUGUUCUUAUUGACCGAACAGGACACAUCAAACUGGUGGACUUUGGGUCAGCAGCCAAAAUGACAGUAAACAAAACGGUAAAUGCCAAGCUCCCUGUGGGUACACCUGACUACAUGGCACCAGAGAUGCUGACAGGGCUGG